rnacentral:rRNA from 1 species
AUGGCCACCUCCAGCGGCGACCAGUCGUCGCCCCGCGCGGCCUCCGACCUCGCCGUCCCCCCCUCCUACCCCGAGAUGAUCGUGGAGGCCAUCGCGUCGCUCCGGGAGCCCAACGGCUCCAGCCAGGCCGCCAUCGCGCGCCGCAUCGAGGCGGCCCACGGCGCCGGCGGCGACCUCCCGCCGUCGCACCCCGCGCUCGUCGCCGCGCACCUCUCCCGCAUGUCCGCCGCCGCCGAGCUCGUCGCCGUCGCCGGGGGCAAGUACGCGCUCCCCCCGCCGCCCUCCAGCUCCCUCGUCGAGGAGGAGGACAUGGAGGCGGAGGUGGGGGAGGAGGACGACGAAUCCUCCGACGACGCGCCGCUGCUGCUGCCGCCCCCGCCUCCCGCCAAGCGCGGCCGCGGCCGGCCCCCGAAGGUGCGCCCGCCAGGCUACUACCCCGUGGGGGCUCCCGCCAUCAUCGGCGCCCCUCCUAGCGACGGACUAGCCGUCGCCGUCGCCGUCGCCACCGCGCCGCGCCGGCGGGGCCGCCCGCCCAAGCCGCGGGACCCAGACGCGCCGCCCAAGAUCCCGCGCCCGCGCGGCCGGCCGCGCAAGAACCCGCUCCCGGACGGCAUGGCGCCGGUCCCGCGGCCCGGCUCCGCCGCGGCCAAGCCGCGCCCGCAGUUCGCCGAGGUCGGCUUCGUGUGA